GACGAACGCUGGCGGCGUGCUUAACACAUGCAAGUCGAACGGAAAGGCCCUGCUUUUGUGGGGUGCUCGAGUGGCGAACGGGUGAGUAACACGUGAGUAACCUGCCCUUGACUUUGGGAUAACUUCAGGAAACUGGGGCUAAUACCGGAUAGGAGCUCCUGCUGCAUGGUGGGGGUUGGAAAGUUUCGGCGGUUGGGGAUGGACUCGCGGCUUAUCAGCUUGUUGGUGGGGUAGUGGCUUACCAAGGCUUUGACGGGUGGCCGGCCUGGGAGGGUGACCGGGCACAUUGGGACUGCGAUACGGCCCAGACUCCUACGGGAGGCAGCAGUGGAGAAUAUUGCACAGUGGGCGGAAGCCUGAUGCAGCAACGCCGCGUGCGGGAUGACGGCCUUCGGGUUGUAAACCGCUUUCGCCUGAGACGAAGCGUGAGUGACGGUAAUGGGUAAAGAAGCACCGGCUAACUACGUG
rnacentral:rRNA from 1 species